UUUGUUGAUUGUUAUAUCUUAGUAACUUGUAUGUCUAUUGAUGAAUUCCCGCUCUUCCAUUUUUCUCUUCAAAGAAGAUUCUCUUUGUUUUCUUUUUUAUUGGAAGUCAUAUUUAAUCUUCUCUUUGUGGUAUUUCGUAAGUCAUCUUCUCUUACGCCUAUAUUCUCUCUCUUUUUGGAAGCCAUGUUCAAUCUACUGGAGAAUUCUUAGGCAAAUCUCAAUCCGCCGGUUUUCCCAACUACAUCAACUACAACUUCUCCAUCGGUACUUCUUGGCUGGCCAAUUUCAAUCACAAUCGCUGAUAUUAUGAUUGUGGUAAGCACCGAUGCUCGACUACUGCUACUUAUUACCAAAAUGAUACCAGAACGAUAGAUGUUACUGAUAAUACCAUCAAUGCAUCAGCCAAGGAAAAUCAAAAGAGAGUAGAAGGAACCAUGGGAUUAUAACAACUCUUAUUAUCUUAUUACUCUUCCAUUAAGAAAGCCAAAUUCUGGAAAUCUAGUAGUAGUGCUAUAGAAGAUAUAAUUAUAGCAAAUGUUUCCAAAGGAUGCUUUUUUAAACAUGAUGAGGAAGAAUUUGGGGAAGCUGCUACAGUUUGGAGUAUGAUGAGAAUACAGGUCAUUGUUCCUAAAGGCUCUCUUUGCAACCUCAAUAUAGAAGUUGAUGUUGGGUUGCCCAGUGAUGUAGUAUAUAAUAUACCGACAGAGCUUGGAAAUAGAAGAGUUUUCAAAAAUAUAUCAAAAUCAGAGGUUGUUGAUGUUAAGAAGGCUCGUGGACUGGCUAAAGUUUUUGGAACCGUGUUAUCUUCGAUUGAUGCAUUGGUAAUGACUUUGUAUAAAGGGCAUACGACUUAAGCCUUAUGGGGUGCCCCAUUCCACGUUAGAGAUACCUAUUCAAGUUUUUAAAAUGGUAGAGAUAAAAAACUUUUGUGAUGGAUGCAAAUCCUUACCUUACGACAAGAGUUGGUGAAGAAAGGAUGGGCAUCUCAAGAUAUAUGAGGUGUGAAACAACGUCUACUUAACUUAUGAUCUAAUACAUGUUGAUUCAAUGUUCGAUCUUUACAGUAACAGGUAAUAUGAGUUCAGUUAUAAGAAACUCAAGGUAAAUAUGGCAACCCUUAGUUUGCUUUCCAUGAUAUGGAUUAAAUACCUCAGUUACACUUACGUGUGAAUAUAUCAUCAUAAGCUUAAACAUUUUCCAGAAUGGCUUAUGCUUUCUCUAGAGAUGGGGUCAUGCUAUUGUCAUCAUUGUGCCACAAAGUUAAACACUGGCUUUCUGUUUCCGUAUUUUCAUUUGUGAAAAGGUGUAACUUUAGGUUUCUUUCAUUGUUGAAAAGUGGAGUAAUAUUUUUGAACAUAUCAGUGAAAUGUAAAUAAAUGUGUUACAGUCUCUUAGUAGUG